UCAUCCAUUAAUUAGCAAAUAUUCCCUAAGAUUUGAAAAUCUCCUUUAAAGAUCACAAGAUCAAACACAAUCUUGCAAAGCUAAUUCCUCUCUCUCCCUCACUUGAAAUUUUCGAAACUCACCUCUCUCCCUCACACACAAUUUUCGCCCAACACACACUCAUCUCCUCCAUCUCUCAAUUCCACCAUUUUCCUCCAUUAAUGAAGACCUUCGAAGCUUCCAAAAAUAUUACCAAACACCUCAAACCACUCUAAUAUCUUCCAUAAACAUAUUCUAGCCACUUUUGAUCAAGAGAAUCCUUGAAGAAGAGCUCCAAAGUUAGAGUGAGAAAGUGUGAAUUUUGGUGAGAAUUUGGGCCCGAGCGAGACGAAGAAGUAAGUUGCCUGAUUUCUUUCCAGAAUAAGCGAAGGACUUCAGGCUAAGCAGGGAGCGAGAUUGGUCUGGUGCUGAUGGGGGAGAGUUUCAAACGAUGUAAUUUAAAUUACUAUUUUGCCC